UCCCGUGGCCGUAGCGGAGGGGACACACCCGGCAACAUUCCGAACCCGGAAGUUAAGCCCUCCAGCGCCGAUGGUACUGCCGGGGCAACCCGGUGGGAGAGUAGGUCGCCGCGGGAA
rnacentral:rRNA from 1 species